AUUGAACGCUGGCGGCAGGCUUAACACAUGCAAGUCGAGCGGGGGAAGGUAGCUUGCUACCGGACCUAGCGGCGGACGGGUGAGUAAUGCUUAGGAAUCUGCCUAUUAGUGGGGGACAACAUCUCGAAAGGGAUGCUAAUACCGCAUACGUCCUACGGGAGAAAGCAGGGGAUCUUCGGACCUUGCGCUCAUAGAUGAGCCUAAGUCGGAUUAGCUAGUUGGUGGGGUAAAGGCCUACCAAGGCGACGAUCUGUAGCGGGUCUGAGAGGCUGAUCCGCCACACUGGGACUGAGCCACGGCCCAGACUCCUACGGGAGGCAGCAGUGGGAAAUAUUGGACAAUGGGGGGAACCCUGAUCCAGCCAUGCCGCGUGUGUGAAGAAGGCCUUAUGGUUGUAAAGCACUUUAAGCGAGGAGGAGGCUACUCUAGUUAAUACCUAGGGAUAGUGGUCGUUACUCGCAGAAUAAGCACCGGCUAACUCUGUGCCAGCCGCCGCCGUCA
rnacentral:rRNA from 1 species